AUACGUAGGGGGCUAGCGUUAUCCGGAAUUACUGGGCGUAAAGGGUGCGUAGGUGGUUUCUUAAGUCAGAGGUGAAAGGCUACGGCUCAACCGUAGUAAGCCUUUGAAACUGGGAAACUUGAGUGCAGGAGUUUAGGAGAGUGGAAUUCCUAGUGUAGCGGUGAAAUGCGUAGAUAUUAGGAGGAACACCAGUUGCGAAGGCGGCUCUCUGGACUGUAACUGACACUGAGGCACGAAAGCGUGGGGAGC
rnacentral:rRNA from 1 species